AGAGUUUGAUCAUGGCUCAGAACGAACGCUGGCGGCAGGCCUAAUACAUGCAAGUCGAACGCACCUUCGGGUGAGUGGCAGACGGGUGAGUAACGCGUGGGAACCUUCCCAAUGGUACGGAAUAACUCCGGGAAACCGGUGCUAAUACCGUAUAAGCCCCUCGGGGGAAAGAUUUAUCGCCAUUGGAUGGGCCCGCGUCGGAUUAGCUAGUUGGUAAGGUAAUGGCUUACCAAGGCUACGAUCCGUAGCUGGUCUGAGAGGAUGAUCAGCCACACUGGGACUGAGACACGGCCCAGACUCCUACGGGAGGCAGCAGUAGGGAAUCUUGGACAAUGGGCGAAAGCCUGAUCCAGCAAUGCCGCGUGAGUGAUGAAGGCCUUAGGGUUGUAAAGCUCUUUUGCCCGGGAUGAUAAUGACAGUACCGGGAGAAUAAGCUCCGGCUAACUCCGUGCCAGCCGCCGCGGUAAUAC
rnacentral:rRNA from 1 species